GUUAAAGGCGUUUACAUACGCAGUAUCUAAUACUGUGUAUAUCAUUAUGAAGUGAUAAUCCGAAGGAAACGAGACAAAGCAGUAGAGUGACAGGUACGAAAGAGUGUCGUAGUACUUAAAGGUCUAUAAGAAGGAAUAAGAAAGCAACUGUUUCACGAGAAGCACGUAGACUUUAACUGUAUAAAAAUGCCGGAUUUAUCUAGUAUAUCCCAUUAUCCAUUAAAGGUAAUUUUUGCGAUUCAUCUGGUUCUUGUAACAUGGGGUAUUCAAGGAUACUGGUGCCCAAAAUCUGCAAUGAUGUAUAAUUUAUUAUUUUUUAUUUGCUUACUUUGGGCUGUGCACAAUAUUGAAUCAGAUGAACCACUACAAUUUGCUCUUUUCAUAAACGUUUUAUCAAUAUUUUUUGACAUAGUGACUCUAUCCGUUUAUUAUCCAAUUGGUCAAUCAUAUGCGUCUGAGAAGUUUAGUGCAGCGUUUAUGAUAAUAAACCUGAUCGUGCGUGUUGUCACGAGUAUAUAUCUGUUGCGGAUAGGACAAGCAAGAGGUGGAAGUCUUGCUACGAUGUUUACACCCUGUCCUGCCAUGGGUCAGUAAUCCAUAGGAUACAGAUGUGCACUUGGUAGCCUUGUAUUGCUUCUACAACUUUCUGCUUUAAGUAUAACUCGACAAGAUUACGAGGACAUAUCCCAUCCGAUACCUCAAAAUUCUGAUUUCGUUGGAAUUUAGAUUAUUUUGAUGGUACAUAUUGUAAGAAUUUAUAAUGUUCAAUCUUGGAUGUUUUUUUUUCUUUUUUUUUUUUUCUUGCGGGCAGAUCAUUUAACUUAAGCUUAUACAAUGACACGAAUCUCACAUGACAUAUUUUCAUUAUUUCUUAUUUUACAAAAUGACGAACAAACGGAGACGUAAUUGAAUAUUAUCAAAGAUACAUACCAGUGCGAACAUAAUCGAUCAGAUUUUAAAUAGAAGAGUAGUGCCAAUUCGUAUUUUAACGAAUGAAAUAUUUCGAUGUUUCAUAAAAUUCCAUUCUUUACGUCGAUCCGUUAAUAAUAAUAACCGAUAUCGGUACAAUAUACGUUUAUUGUUUCUUUGUCAUUAUCUUUAUCAUUUGUUACGUGCAUGCAUAUGAUCUAACCUAAACAAGUAAUAUUGUUAAAUCGCGUUAAAUGUUUCGAUUGAUUGUAUAUGAAAUACUCCGUAAUUAUCACAUACUUAUGUAUAUAUGAUAAAUUAUAUAUAUAUAUAUACAAACAGAUUUAAUAUAUUAUACUUAUAGAUCUAUUCUGUACGACUACUUUUAUCUGCAAUUUGCAAAUAAAAUUCUUUACAACAA